rnacentral:rRNA from 1 species
GAUGAACGCUGGCGGCGUGCCUAAUACAUGCAAGUCGAGCGAAUGGAUUAAGAGCUUGCUCUUAUGAAGUUAGCGGCGGACGGGUGAGUAACACGUGGGUAACCUGCCCAUAAGACUGGGAUAACUCCGGGAAACUGUAGCUAAUACCGGAUAACAUUUUGAACCGCAUGGUUCGAAAUUGAAAGGCGGCUUCGGCUGUCACUUAUGGAUGGACCCGCGUCGCAUUAGCUAGUUGGUGAGGUAACGGCUCACCAAGGCAACGAUGCGUAGCCGACCUGAGAGGGUGAUCGGCCACACUGGGACUGAGACACGGCCCAGACUCCUACGGGAGGCAGCAGUAGGGAAUCUUCCGCAAUGGACGAAAGUCUGACGGAGCAACGCCGCGUGAGUGAUGAAGGCUUUCGGGUCGUAAAACUCUGUUGUUAGGGAAGAACAAGUGCUAGUUGAAUAAGCUGGCACCUUGACGGUACCUAACCAGAAAGCCACGGCUAACUACGUGCCAGCCGCCGCAGUAA